AUACGUAGGGGGCAAGCGUUGUCCGGAAUUAUUGGGCGUAAAGCGCGCGCAGGCGGUCAUUUAAGUUUGGUGUUUAAGCCCGGGGCUCAACCCCGGUACGCAUCGAAAACUGGGUGACUUGAGUGUAGGAGAGGAAAGUGGAAUUCCACGUGUAGCGGUGAAAUGCGUAGAGAUGUGGAGGAACACCAGUGGCGAAGGCGACUUUCUGGCCUAUAACUGACGCUGAGGCGCGAAAGCGUGGGGAGC
rnacentral:rRNA from 1 species